UACGAAGGGUGCAAGCGUUGUCCGGAAUUAUUGGGCGUAAAGAGCUUGUAGGCGGUUUGUCGCGUCUGCUGUGAAAUUUCGGGGCUCAACCCCGAACUUGCAGUGGGUACGGGCAGACUAGAGUGUGGUAGGGGAGACUGGAAUUCCUGGUGUAGCGGUGAAAUGCGCAGAUAUCAGGAGGAACACCGAUGGCGAAGGCAGGUCUCUGGGCCAUAACUGACGCUGAGAAGCGAAAGCAUGGGGAGCGAACAGG
rnacentral:rRNA from 1 species